CUAGGAUGAACGCUAGCGGCAGGCUUAACACAUGCAAGUCGAGGGGCAGCGGGAUGUAGCAAUACAUUGCCGGCGACCGGCGGAUGGGUGCGUAACGCGUAUGCAACCUACCUUAUACAGGGGAAUAACCUUUCGAAAGGGAGACUAACACCCCAUAGUAUUGAUUUAAGGCAUCUUAGAUUAAUUAAAUAUUUAUAGGUAUAAGAUGGGCAUGCGUAUGAUUAGCUAGUUGGUAAGGUAACGGCUUACCAAGGCGACGAUCAUUAGGGGUUCUGAGAGGAAGGUCCCCCACACUGGUACUGAGACACGGACCAGACUCCUACGGGAGGCAGCAGUGAGGAAUAUUGGUCAAUGGGCGCAAGCCUGAACCAGCCAUGCCGCGUGCAAGGAAGACGGCCUUAUGGGUUGUAAACUGCUUUUACAUAAGACUAACCGUAUAUUUGCGAAUAUACCUGAAUGUAUUAUGAGAAUAAGGAUCGGCUAACUCCGUGCCAGCCGCCGC
rnacentral:rRNA from 1 species